rfam:Aedes albopictus isolate Foshan contig96926, whole genome shotgun sequence.
UAGCCUAGUGAUUAAGGCUAUGGAUCGCCAAUCCGGAGACGCGGGUUCGAUUCCCGU